rnacentral:rRNA from 1 species
AUUGAACGCUGGCGGAAUGCUUUACACAUGCAAGUCGAGCGGCAGCGCGGGGGCAACCCUGGCGGCGAGCGGCGAACGGGUGAGUAACAUAUCGGAACGUACCCCGUCGUGGGGGAUAACACAGCGAAAGCUGUGCUAAUACCGCAUACGACCUGAGGGUGAAAGCGGGGGAUCGCAAGACCUCGCGCGAUGGGAGCGGCCGAUAUCGGAUUAGCUUGUUGGUGAGGUAAAGGCUCACCAAGGCGACGAUCCGUAGCUGGUCUGAGAGGACGACCAGCCACACUGGAACUGAGACACGGUCCAGACUCCUACGGGAGGCAGCAGUGGGGAAUUUUGGACAAUGGGGGCAACCCUGAUCCAGCCAUUCCGCGUGAGUGAAGAAGGCCUUCGGUUGUAAGACGUCUUCUAGCAGGAACG